rnacentral:rRNA from 1 species
AACGAACGCUGGCGGCAGGCUUAACACAUGCAAGUCGAGCGCCCCGCAAGGGGAGCGGCAGACGGGUGAGUAACGCGUGGGAAUCUACCCUUUUCUACGGAAUAACGCAGGGAAACUUGUGCUAAUACCGUAUAAGCCCUUCGGGGGAAAGAUUUAUCGGGAAAGGAUGAGCCCGCGUUGGAUUAGCUAGUUGGUGGGGUAAAGGCCUACCAAGGCGACGAUCCAUAGCUGGUCUGAGAGGAUGAUCAGCCACAUUGGGACUGAGACACGGCCCAAACUCCUACGGGAGGCAGCAGUGGGGAAUAUUGGACAAUGGGCGCAAGCCUGAUCCAGCCAUGCCGCGUGAGUGAUGAAGGCCCUAGGGUUGUAAAGCUCUUUCACCGGUGAAGAUAAUGACGGUAACCGGAGAAGAAGCCCCGGCUAACUUCGUG